AGAUUCUAUCGCUUUGCUUGGUGUAUCGUUGGUACUCUCUUCAUCAACGUGAAGCCGAUGAGCCAACAUCGGCGAAUACGUGGCCACCGGCGUACCUGAGCACAUCCUCUGUGUAGUGCAAGACACUGGACGUCUUGCAAAACGUUCUAUCCAACUAUUUUCGACCAUUACUCAUCCACGGUCAAUAAACGCAUCCUGACCGUAGCGAAGCGAUAAAAAUAGCCGGUCAAGACAGUUGACUGUCGGAAUUGGAAAGUGGAAAGCACCCUUAUCGCUUAUCGACGCACAACAAAGCGGCGCGGGCAAAGCGCGAGUAUUCGCGUCAGCAAGCUGUGUCGAGACAUCGCUUCUGUACGUCUAUCGGCUCUUCCAGUUUUCACAACGUUACUUUCUAUCCAUGAUGCACCGCACAAAAGGCACACACAGGUUUGCUCGUCAUGUCGAUGUAGCUGAGACACGUCGCGUCGUGAUAACUACCUGCGCUUAUAAUUUAUCUGCAAAAGCGACGACGCACAUUAACGUAACGCGGCGUGAUGGCCCAAGCCAGAUGUGACUUUCACAUAUCUGCAGUUUGAACCACCUCGCUGUCGCCGUAAAACUGCAUUCGGAAUUUCUGGUAACUGGUAAUAUCAUUCGCGCACUAUUAAGCCGUCACAGCACGAACGAGUUUAGAGCGAACGCUUUCUGCAGUCUGCGCAGACAGGAAAGUUAAUUUCAACGAUGCAUCAGGAACGUAUAAGCGGCGAAUAGCGUUAAAACAGUCGUGAAAGAGAUUAGAUUUAUUAUUCCUCUUAUGCAUUUUGCUUUUUUUUUUAUAAAAUAGAAAUAAUUAUUCCUCUCUCGUUUUGAGCUUAUAUCAUUGUAGCGAUUUAAGCGUCAUUUGUAUCCGAAACAGGCUCGAAUACUUUGUGCGUCGUUAAAGUAACGAUUUUGCCAAAGUUCGCCACUUUGUGUCGCUUAUUAUGACUUGCGCGCACUCGAUUAAAGAUUUGAAUAGCGAAAGUGAUAUCGAUUCAUUCGGCGAACUUUAGUUGAAACUUCUGCUUCUGCAUCAAAAAUGGGUGUUUUUCAAUUAUUUUUUUUCUUUUCAAGAAAAAUAAUUCAUACUUUCGCAACACAUUUCGAGUUAUAUGUAGUCGAGCAAUUCUGAGUUUAUUCGAUUAAUAUGAAAGUUAUUAUACAUUCAAUGUCAACGUCCAAUUUUGAUCAAAACUUAUUAAUCAAAUUAAAUUGCAAUUCAAUAUGCACCAACUGAACACGAAAUUUCGAUCCUGAUUCCUUUGAUUAAAGAACAAAAAAUAGAAAGUAGGAAUCGUCAUGUUAAAUUAAAUGUGUACCAAUAAUUUAAUAUUUUGAAUUUUAUUAAAUGUUAAACGUAUUAUAUACAGA